AUUGAACGCUGGCGGCAGGCCUAACACAUGCAAGUCGAGCGGAUGAAGGGAGCUUGCUCCUGGAUUCAGCGGCGGACGGGUGAGUAAUGCCUAGGAAUCUGCCUGGUAGUGGGGGAUAACGUCCGGAAGCGGGCGCUAAUACCGCAUACGUCCUGAGGGAGAAAGUGGGGGAUCUUCGGACCUCACGCUAUCAGAUGAGCCUAGGUCGGAUUAGCUAGUUGGUGGGGUAAAGGCCUACCAAGGCGACGAUCCGUAACUGGUCCGAGAGGAUGAUCAGUCACACUGGAACUGAGACACGGUCCAGACUCCUACGGGAGGCAGCAGUGGGGAAUAUUGGACAAAGGGCGAAAGCCUGAUCCAGCCAUGCCGCGUGUGUGAAGAAGGUCUUCGGAUUGUAAAGCACUUUAAGUUGGGAGGAAGGGCAGUAAGUUAAUACCUUGCUGUUUUGACGUUACCAACAGAAUAAGCACCGGCUAACUUCGUG
rnacentral:rRNA from 1 species